CAGCCGCCGCGGUAAUACGUAGGUCCCGAGCGUUGUCCGGAUUUAUUGGGCGUAAAGCGAGCGCAGGCGGUUAGAAAAGUCUGAAGUGAAAGGCAGUGGCUCAACCAUUGUAGGCUUUGGAAACUGUUUAACUUGAGUGCGGAGGGGAGAGUGGAAUUCCAUGUGUAGCGGUGAAAUGCGUAGAUAUAUGGAGGAACACCGGUGGCGAAAGCGGCUCUCUGGUCUGUAACUGACGCUGAGGCUCGAAAGCGUGGGGAGCGAGCAGGAUUAGAUACCCCUGUAGUCCCUGUCUCUUAUACAC
rnacentral:rRNA from 1 species